UACGUAGGGUGCGAGCGUUGUCCGGAAUUAUUGGGCGUAAAGAGCUCGUAGGCGGCCUGUUGCGUCCGCUGUGAAAACUCGGGGCUUAACCCCGAGCCUGCAGUGGAUACGGGCAGGCUAGAGGUAGGUAGGGGAGAAUGGAAUUCCCGGUGUAGCGGUGAAAUGCGCAGAUAUCGGGAGGAACACCGGUGGCGAAGGCGGUUCUCUGGGCCUUACCUGACGCUGAGGAGCGAAAGCGUGGGGAGCGAACAGG
rnacentral:rRNA from 1 species